rnacentral:tRNA from 1 species
UGGGAUAUAGUGUAAUUGGUUAACACCUGAGAUUUUGAUUCUCAUAUUCCAGGUUCGAGUCCUGGUAUCCUAGCCA